rnacentral:rRNA from 1 species
AUUGUACGCUGGCGGCAGGCCUAACACAUGCAAGUCGAGCGGCAGCGGGAAAGUAGCUUGCUACUUUUGCCGGCGAGCGGCGGACGGGUGAGUAAUGCCUGGGAAAUUGCCCAGUCGAGGGGGAUAACAGUUGGAAACGACUGCUAAUACCGCAUACGCCCUACGGGGGAAAGCAGGGGACCUUCGGGCCUUGCGCGAUUGGAUAUGCCCAGGGGGGAUUAGCUAGUUGGUGAGGUAAUGGCUCACCAAGGCGACGAUCCCUAGCUGGUCUGAGAGGAUGGUCAGCCACGCGGGAACUGAGACACGGUCCAGACUCCUACGGGGGGCAGCAGUGUGGAAUAUUGCACAAUGGGGGAAACCCUGAUGCAGCCAUGCCGCGUGUGUGAAGAAGGCCUUCGGGUUGUAAAGCACUUUCAGCGAGGAGGAAAGGUUGAUGCCUAAUACGUAUCAACUGUGACGUUACUCGCAGAAGAAGCACCGGCUAACUCCGUGCCAGCAGCCGCCGCCGUAA